GAACGCUGGCGGCGUGCUUAACACAUGCAAGUCGAACGGUGAACUUUGGAGCUUGCUUCAAGGGGAUCAGUGGCGAACGGGUGAGUAACACGUGAGUAACCUGCCCCGGACUCUGGAAUAAGCGCUGGAAACGGCGUCUAAUACCGGAUACGAGACGCAACCGCAUGGUUAGUGUCUGGAAAGUUUUUCGGUCUGGGAUGGACUCGCGGCCUAUCAGCUUGUUGGUGAGGUAAUGGCUCACCAAGGCGACGACGGGUAGCCGGCCUGAGAGGGCGACCGGCCACACUGGGACUGAGACACGGCCCAGACUCCUACGGGAGGCAGCAGUGGGGAAUAUUGCACAAUGGGCGAAAGCCUGAUGCAGCGACGCCGCGUGAGGGAUGACGGCCUUCGGGUUGUAAACCUCUUUCAGCAGGGAAGAAGCGAAAGUGACGGUACCUGCAGAAGAAGCACCGGCUAACUACGUGCCAGCAGCCGCGGUAAUACGUAGGGUGCGAGCGUUGUCCGGAAUUAUUGGGCGUAAAGAGCUUGUAGGCGGUUUGUCGCGUCUGCUGUGAAAAUCCGGGGCUCAACCCCGGACUUGCAGUGGGUACGGGCAGACUAGAGUGUGGUAGGGGAGACUGGAAUUCCUGGUGUAGCGGUGAAAUGCGCAGAUAUCAGGAGGAACACCGAUGGCGAAGGCAGGUCUCUGGGCCACUACUGACGCUGAGAAGCGAAAGCAUGGGGAGCGAACAGGAUUAGAUACCCUGGUAGUCCAUGCCGUAAA
rnacentral:rRNA from 1 species